AUGAGCAAUUUUGCCCUUGGAUGCUUUUUGACUGCAGAUAGAGAAGGAAACCCUGAGCAAGAGAGAAACCUAUUGAUGACUUGGAUAGCGGGAUGGUUGGUGGUUCCAGAUUUGGGGUUCUCAAUGAGAUUAACAGAAAGGAGAACAAGGAAGAACAUUGGGCUUUCAAUGGCAUUAAUAGAGGCUGAAUUUCAAGGAAAUCGAAUGUGGG
rnacentral:lncRNA from 1 species